GUGGGGAAUAUUGGACAAUGGGCGCAAGCCUGAUCCAGCAAUGCCGCGUGUGUGAAGAAGGUCUUCGGAUUGUAAAGCACUUUCGACAGGGACGAUGAUGACGGUACCUGUAGAAGAAGCCCCGGCUAACUUCGUGCCAGCAGCCGCGGUAAUACGAAGGGGGCUAGCGUUGCUCGGAAUGACUGGGCGUAAAGGGCGCGUAGGCGGUUGAUUGGGUCAGAUGUGAAAUUCCUGGGCUUAACCUGGGGACUGCAUUUGAAACUAGUCGGCUAGAGUUCGGAAGAGGGUCGUGGAAUUCCCAGUGUAGAGGUGAAAUUCGUAGAUAUUGGGAAGAACACCGGUGGCGAAGGCGGCGACCUGGUCCGACACUGACGCUGAGGCGCGAAAGCGUGGGGAGCAAACAGG
rnacentral:rRNA from 1 species